UGGGAAGAAAAGCGACGGUGGAGAUGCGCCUUCUGACCCUCACCGCCCGCUUGCCUUUUUGCACUAGUCUCGCCAGGCGUUCUGCCGGACAGCCGACACCGUGCGCGGCGCCGGCACAACCCCGAUCACGUGACUCGCGGUAGUGCCCGCAGCGCUGACUUCCUCGCUCGACCCCAGAGGUGGCGGAGCCGGCGCUAACCGGGCGAUAAAAGGGGUGGCGGCAAAGCAGGGCAGGAGCUGGGGGUAGUGACAGUGAGACAAGGGAAAGGAAGGAAUGCAGCGCGCUUCUGCGCAUGCGCCCCAGCGCUGCCUGCCGUAGGGGUGUACCGCCAUGGUCUGUCGUGCGUUACCUGGGAACAGAAGAACAAGCGUUCAGCUUGAAUGGAGAAAUUGUAUUUUUAUAGAGAAGUACUUGUCUGUAGGACAAGGCAAGAUGCUUUAAAGCUGAAGAUCGGGAGUAAGUUUAAGGUUGUUUUUUUUUUCACAGUGAAGGUGGUGAAACUCUGGCACAGGUUAUGCAGAGAUGUGGUGGAAGCACCUCAGGAAAUUUCAGGUCAGGCUGGGACAGGCCUCUGAGCAGCUUACCUAGUUGAAGAUGUCCCUGCUGACUGCAGGAAGAUUUGAUUAGAUGACCUUUAAAAUUAAUCAACAUCAACCACUUCAUAAUUCUGCUUCUCUAGAGCUGUUGGUAUUUUGACACACUUCACACACCUCUCAGAUAAGAAGGGAAUUCACAGUCUAAAUCUCUCUCCAUACACAAAUAACAAGGAAAAGAUACUUUGGUAACAACUGUUAUGAAGACUUGUGGACUCUGACAUUCUUAUAUUUUUUAUUGUUUCUCUGACAUAAAUGGCAGCUAAGAGAAAAAAACAGUAAAAUGCACUCACCAUCUCAAGAAUGUAAACAGACUUCAGAUUGAAUCCUUUCAGAUUCUAGGCAAGGAGAAAGACAAGAUGGUUUCGACCUACUUAGAGCAUUUAAUUUUAGUCAGCAAAUCUUGGGCUUCCCAGUUUAUUGACACUGAUUUGGUGAUUGUAGCAUGGUAGAGGAAAGCACUGUUAAGAAAAUAACACAUUUUAAAGACAUUCUGUUUACACUGUCAGUCCUGUGUUCCUGGCAAGCAAACAAUGCAAAGUUACAACUGGAAAACAUUGGUCUUGCUAGUGUAAAAGUAGUAAGAGAUCAGAUGCAUUUAAAGAGCAACUGAGCCAUGCAUUUAAUGCUUCUGGAUGUAAAAGCCUUAAAAGUGUAUGUCUUAAGGGAAAUUCGGAACUUGCUUGUGGAACUCUUUGGCAUGAGGUUUCAUUGCUGAAAGAAAUUUGAUGGCAUUUUAUGAAAAGUGGUAAGAAGCACACCAACUUCAUUAACUGAAAGAAGAAUUGCCUCCUAGUUAAAAUCAACUCUUAACAAACAUAUGAGUUCAGAACCCUAGUAUUUUGGCAUUGCUGAAGGGAUGUUAACAAAACCAGUUGGUAUUCACUCAAAAAAAGGCCAAAGUUGUAAUCACUAUACAAAAACAUUUUAAAAUUAAUUAAUUCAAGGGCUGAAUAGGACAUUUGCAGGAACCAAGCCAUGUAUAUGCUGAUGCAAACAC